CAAUUCUUGAUGGUAAUGUUGUAUUAAUGAGAAAAGGGAUUGCUAAAGGGAGAGGAAAUUGGUAUCGACAUGAAAGCAACGAAUCAUCCUUACGAUUUUGGUUUCAAAAUAAAUUCCCCAGGAUAGCUCUGUGUUGUGCUGUAGAACCUCCUGUGUGUAAAGACAAUAUGUUGUUGGAUUUCAAUUUAAGUGUUCUCAUCAAUGGCACUAAGCAAUUCACUUCUUCAUGCAACUACAUGUUUUCUGCUGAAAAAUUAACUGAACAAGUUCUUAUGUGUGAUUUAGUAUGCAAAGUGGAAAGAUCGUAUUUAGAGCAUGAAUGGAAUCAAGUAGAUAUUUCAUAUGAAUUUAAAUACUCUAUGCCAUGUGGCUCUAAAAGAAUAAUGGCUACCCAGGAGAUGACCACAACAAGAAAUCCAAGUUGGUCCUUCAUUUAUGCCUAUGAAGAAGAUAACAAAGUGGGUAUCAGAUUUCUCUCCCAGUUUGUGGAAUGGGUAGAGCAGCACAGAAGAAAUAUAGCAUAUUAUUGGUUUGGUUCAGUACUUUACACAAGGUUUGUUUGUGAAUUUAGAAAUGAUUAAUUAAGUAAAUGAUCUUAUAAAUAUUAAGAAUUUUGUUUAGUCUAUAAAAAAAAUUCGCAUCUUUUAGUCCCCGUAAAAUUUUCCGUCAGCAUCAUUUUAAGUAUGUUAAAGAAAAAUAUUACAGAGGUUAAAAGUGCAAAUUUGGUCUUAGGAACUAAAAAUGAAUUUAUGAAUAUUUAUAUAGACAUUUACUUAAUUAAUCCAUUGAAAAAUAACUGGAUUUUGACAUGCUUUAAUUAAUUAAUUAAUUAAUUUUUUGAAAACAUCUGUUUAAGUAUUGAAAUCUACAAGAAUAUAUAUAUAUAUAUAUAUAUAUAUAUAUAUAUAUAUACACUUUAUGUGGUCACAUUUAUAAACAAAAAACAACUUUUUAAAUUCAUUGAAUAAUUAUUAUAUCUGGUCACUUUUAUAGACCAAAUAUAAUAUGUAAAUAGUGUGUUAUACGUAAUAUAUAAUAUAACUAAUAUUCAAUCACAUAUUAUACUUAUCUUUCUCAGAUCUUUCUCUCCAUUGGUCGAAAAAGAGAGAUCUAUCUUUCCCGAACUAAAAUUAAAAUUAUUUAAUUUAAUGGUCGAAGAGAUAGAGGGACCAGCGAUUGGGAUCGAUCUCGGAACCACAUACUCAUGCGUAGGUGUAUGUCAACAUGACCGUGUUGAAAUCAUCGCCAACAACCAAGGUAACAGAACCACACCAUCUUACGUUGCCUUUACCGACUCUGACUGUCUCAUUGGUGAUACUGCUAAGAAUCAAGUUGCCUCGAACCCUAUCAACACCGUCUUUGAUGCUAAGAGGUUGAUUGGCCGUAGAUUCAGCGAUGCCUCUGUUCAGAGGGAUAUGAAGUUGUGGCCUUUUAAGAUGAUUUCUGGCCCGGAUGAAAAGCCAUUGAUUGGUGUUAACAACUUUGGUGAAGAUAAGCAAUUUGCCCCAGAAGAGAUCUCAUCCAUGAUACUCUGGAAGAUGCGUGAGAUUGCUGAGGCCUACGUUGGCUCUGCCAUUAGGAAUGCUGUUGUUACUGUCCCUGUUUACUUUAAUGAUUCUCAGAGACAAAUUACUAAGGAUGCAGCUGUUUUUGCUGGUCUUAAUGUCAUGGAUAUUAUCGAUGAGCCCACUGCUGCAGCCAUUGCUUAUGGUUUUGACAUGACCAGCGUUGGAGAGAAGAAUGUCUUAAUCUUUGACCUUGGUGGUGGGACUUUUGAUGUCUCUUUGCUAACUUUUGAAGAGAGUGACGUUGAGGUUAAAGUUAUAUCCGGAGACACCCAUCUUGGAGGUGAGGAUUUUAAUAACAGAAUGGUGAACCACUUUGUUCAAGAGUUCAAGAGAAAGAACAAGAAGGACAUCAGUGGCAACCCAAGAGCUCUUAUGAGGUUGAGGACUGCUUGUGAGAAGGCCAAGAGAACUCUAUCAUUUACUGUCCAAACCACCAUUGAAAUUGAUUGUCUAUUCGAGGGAAUUGAUUUCUGCUCCCCCAUUACUCGUGCCACAUUUGAAAAGCUCAACAUGGAUCUCUUUAGGAAAUGUAUGGAGCAAGUUGAGAAAUGUUUGAGAAAUGCUAGGAUGGACAAAACAAGUGUCCAUGAUGUUGUCCUUGUAGGAGGUUCUACCAGAAUUCCAAAGGUUCAACAAUUAUUGCAGGAUUUCUUUAACGGAAAGGAGCUAUGCAAUAGCAUUAAUCCCGACGAGGCUGUUGCGUGUGGUGCUGCAGUUUACGCUGCAAUCUUGAGUGGUGAGUACAAAAGAAGUGUCCAUGAUGUUGUCCUUGUAGGAGGUUCUUCUUUUGUUAAGAUUGUUUUGAUUUGUUUUAUAUUGAUUAAGAUCUGUUUGUUCACUUUGCAGGUUGUUGAUGGCUUCUUAAUUCUUUCUCUUUUCCCUGUUCUUUUUUGUGAAAUGAGUAUUGUUUUUCCUAUAAUCAUGUUAUCAAUGCGAAAUAUCAACCCAACUUUGCUGAUAUCUAAUCUCUGCUGGUGAACCUGGCUCGCCACCUCUCCCAACCGCAUUUUUCUCAUACACAUUGGUCGAACAUGAGACCUUGUUUAAGAGACCAGAGUCUAGUUAAUGUCAAUUUGUUUAUUCUAAUACAUUAACAAGUGUAUAUUGUGGAAGCUUUGUAUUUUUGUUAAAUUUUUGUCUUUUAGGGUGUGAUAGGUAGGUGCAUGCUUAAUGAUGUUGAUGAAUUUGAAAUGGUUUUGUUGAUAACAUUUUGGUUACAAUUUACAAGGAAUUUACGGUUCAUUUAUUUUAAUGGAUUUGAGACGUAUGCAACUUUUUUUGAUAUUUUUUGAAAUAAAUUGAAAUGUCUUUCUGGAUGGACACUUAAACUCUGAUUCGUAAGAAAAUUUAAGCUGUCCCCUGUUCUCACUUGUGUGGUGCUACAAAUUGUUCAUGAAUCUAUUUAUAUGACCUCAAGAAAAUUUGAGUUUUAUUGUAUCAUAUUAUAUAAUAUUUAAAUAUCAUCAUCAAUGUUCACAAGGGAUAACCUUGGCACAACCAGUGGCGGAUCUUGAGUUAAUUUGUUGAGUUAAUUAUAAAAUGUUUUAAAGGAGCAAGAGUAAGUGGGUUCGAAUCCCCUCAAGAACUUUUCUUUUAAAUACAAUAUGCUAUGAUAGAAGAUUAAACAUGUAAAAAGAAGAUGGCUAGGUGUUGAACCGGUGAGCUAGAGCAAUUUACGAUACCCAAUUUCCACUGCAGCAGCUCAAUUCUGGUUGUUAUUAUACUUCUAAUAUAGUAUAUAAGGAAACUUUGGGGGAUACCAUGACACAUGUCUGCCCCCAAAGAGAUCCGCCCCUGGGCACAACUGGUAAAGUUGUUGUCAUGCGACUGGAAGGUCACGGGUUCAAGUCCUCGAAACAACCUCUUGUGUAAAAAUCAGGGUAAGGCUGCGUACAAUACACCAAAUGGUGGAACCCCUUCCCGAAUCCUGCGUAUGUGGAAGCUUUAGUGCACUGGGUUGCCCUUUUUUAGCACAUUAAUUCAGAAAUGCGAUUAAUAUCACAGGUUUCAUGAAACAUUUAUCAAGGGCAUGUUAGGAAAAAGUAACGAAUACUUCAUUGAUAUUGCAGAACAGCAUAUAACAUGAGACAAUUUCUUUUUUGUUAAAAUGACUUAUAAUAUGGGACAGAGGAUGUGAAGCUUUAUUCAUUCAAAAUCCAUGAGAGAUUAUUUUCUUUUUCUUGAAUGGGACUUGACAUUUACUAGACUGAGAUCCGCAUGUUGCGCAAAUGCAAAAUAUUUAAGUCAUAGGAGAUGGUUAGAAUGCCGUACAAAAAAGGGAGAAUAGAAUGAGAGAGUAGCAAUGAAAUAUUGAUAGUGACACAGGGAUAUAUUUGACAAUGUUAUAGUGCAUCUGUACUAUGGUGAGAUGUCAACUAAAUAGUUUCUGAGUAUGUUUUAAUAUAUUAUAAACGGAUAAAUAUAUUUGGCAAUUUUAUAGUGCAUCUGUACUAUGAAAAGUGUUAAGAAUCAAGUUUGCCUAUUCAUAAUUAGGGUUAGAAUGAUAUCUGGAUAUUUGAAUUACAAACCAAACUGAUUAAAUGUUUUGUACAUGUUCUACAGACUAUUUAUAAAUAGAGGUGUCUGCCAAAUUCAUCAAGAAGAAUGCAAACAAUUUUGAUAUAAACGGAUUGCAACUCUUUCUUCAAAAUAUGAAUAACUUACGUUAUGACAUUUUCCACUGUUGGAACUCCAGACUAUAUUGCUCCAGAAGUGUUACUGAAAAAGGGUUAUGGCUUGGAGUGCGACUGGUUUGUUGAUAUUCUUUUUCAUUUGCUUGAGCUGCAUCUCCUUAUUUUAUGUUUUGGUAGCUUUCCCAUAUUCGUUGACACUACAGAUUGUGCAUGGAUUUUUAUAUCUUUUGCUCUGACUUGGUUCAAUUACGUUGAAAUUGUGAUAUUCGUUGUAAUCGUCUUAAUAGGUUGAACAACCAAUGCCAGCUCGAUCUGGAUCCGGACCCAUCAGAAAGGUAAAAUUCUAUUUACUUGCAUGAAGAUUAAGAUUUUUCAGGAAAAAAUAGUCAAUCAUCCUGUCUUAGCUAUUCGCUUUUUUGCAUCAUUCUGUUUAGAUUGCAAUAUUCAUUUCCUCUAGAUAUAUAAACAAUUAUAAUAGCUGCAUGAAUGAGUAUGUCUCCAUUGAACUUACGCACAACAUUAAUCAUCGUAUAAAUCAAUAAUCAUUGGCUUUAUGCAUCUUUAGAUUGAUUCAUAAGUAUUUAUUUAUUUUUCUUCACUAUUGAAUUCACCAGUUCUAGUUUUUUACCCUGAUACAAAAUUUCCAGGCUAAAUAUAAGUUGAUUGAUUUUGUAGUACAUACAAUAACUCUUAUGUUUCUUGUAUCCUUUUUGUCUACAGAUGCUUUUUACUCAAGAUCUCAGUUUUGUUGGCUAUACAUAUAGGAAUUUUGCAGCUGUCAAAGGGAAGCGUCAUUCUAUUGGUAAGUACUUUCCGCAUAAAGGAUAAUAUGUUACUAUUUUUUAUUUUAUUUUUAUUAACACAUUUUGAUCUUUUGAUGCCACAUAUUAUGAAUCUAUAAUGCUGUAUUUCAACUUUUUAUCGCCGAUUUCCAUUUUCUUUUUGUACAUGAGAUCAGUUUAAAGUUAUUUGCCACGGAAAAUGCUGAAAUUUAUGAAAGAUAUUGCACAAAAAUGUCACGAAUAUGUCGUGAUAUUUUUAACCUUUAUAACCCUUUGUGUUUUCCAUCAAAGCAGUGACUUAAUAGGUUAAUCGUUUUUGUACACUUUCCGUAAACCUUUCUUUUGUUCUAAAUAGUUACAAGUUAGGCUCAUCGCUAAAUGUUACAGCAAAAACAGGACUUUCCAUCUAUAUAAUUUCUUUGCAUUAUAAAAUAUAUAUUUUGAUCAUCCAAAGCUAUACUUCACAUAUUAUUCUUGGUGCUCCCCAUGUAUAGCUGUCCGUAAUUGUCGGUUAAUGUCAUCAAAUUGGUCCUUAAGUAGACGAAAUUGAUUGCAUUGCUCGACAUAUAUGUGUCAAUCUGAUGUAACCUAUUGUUAAAAGUUAAGAAUCUUUAGAUAUUUGUUUAACUGUACAACUUCCUAGAUUGAUUGUUAUUACUCCUAGAGUAUUCAACUUCCUAGGCUAGUGCUUACUAAUUAAGCAUUCAAUGCACUUAUUGUAAAACCAUUAUAAAUACAAUAGUGUGAUCUCAUUACGGAGAGAGUUUACUCAGAUUUUACAUAUUUUACACCUAUAAUGGUGUGGACUAAGGUGAUCGUGCUAAACUUUUGUAGACUAGAAUGCAUGUUCAUUCUGCUUAAUAUUAACAUCUUCAUUCACACUUGUGUUAUAUCAGUCUUUGCUUUUAGUCUCUAUUUUUGUUUUGUUUUAUACUCGAAGCAUAAGAAAAUUAGCAUUUAGUCCUUUUUUGGCUUUAAUCUUUCAAAUAUUUGUCUAUGUUGGAAUUCGUCCUUGUAUACUCCAUAUGAUUAGGUGCUAAGAUCAAUAAGGUCUACAUAAUACAAGACUUUAACCAACAUGAACUAGAAUUAAAAUAACAAGGACCAAAAACAAAAUUGUGUAUGUAUCAGGGACUAGAACACUAUGGCGUCAUUUGUUCCAUGUAGCCGAACCAACUUUGUGGGAUAAGGCUUGGUUGUUGUUGUUGUUGUAUCAGGGACUAGAAAAACAAAUUACAAAGACUAGAGGUGAAAUUGAAAUAUUUAAGGAUAUCUAUGCGCCUAUCACGAUAUUUAAAUACCUUCUGGAUAUUUCAGUUAAUACAUUUCUUUAUCCUUUAUGGCUAAUGAUAUUGUACCACUUUUUUUUGGACUUGAUACAGAAAAGGGAAGCGUGUCACCACGAUCAUCAGUCGACUCGACACACAGUAAUAAAACCUUUUUCAGCUUUGAUAACUACUUAUAUGUCUAUUCAGUUAUGGGACUCUAACCAACCAGUUUUGUUCUAGGUGAUUCUGUAAUAAACUAUUCCACCUGAUACUCAAUGGACAUCACCAAAGCAUAGGUGGUUGCACCCUAUGGUGCUUGUGAAGAGUGACCUAACCUUAUUGUAAUGUACAUUAUGACCUUCUCGUGUUGCAAAUAGAUGGAGAUUCACCUUCUUCGAUGAUGGUGUCUUUUCGCCUUAGUUUCAGUGGCGGAAAGUGCUUUGGUACAGUGGCGAUGAGUCUUUAUGGUGGAACGAAAGGUGUCUGCAGACACGUUAGCUCUCCAAUGCUCAAAUCAGUGUAGGAAAUGAGAUGGAAUCUGUGAAAAGUGUGGAAAAAGUGAAUCAUACCUUGGGGUGAAGCUAAGUCACCCUUAAAUAGGCGUGUAUGAGAAUAACCGUCUCUGUAAAGUGCGGCGCUUCAUCAGGAGGCCGUUGGGAGAUGUGUAAGGUGUCUGAUGCACGGAGACGUGCUUAGGUGGAGUGGCGUGCACCAAAGUUAGGGUGUUUGUCCAAGUGACACGUGUUGCUCCGGCGUGUUACUUGUCCACGUGUCAGCGUUGGAUUGGAUUUAUAGCGGGUCCAGAACAAUAUAUAAAGAGAGAUAAUUAGGAUCUGUUGACAACAGGUGUCACCAAAUCCCAAGGGUUGUUUCAAUUUAAUUUAAAGGCUUCAAUUUAUUCAUUUCACAAUGUCACCUGACACUUUCAUCGUUCUUUUUACACUUUCAUCAUUUUUUUUACACUCUCUCCCCUUUUAUUUUGAAAAUCCACCACUGUCAAAAUAAAGGAAUAUAUAAAGAAUGAUGAAUAAUUGAGUGUAAUUGUUGAUUUUAAAGUUCAAUAUAACAUUAAUUAUUUAUUUUUCCAUAGUACCAUUAACUACUUAUUAAAGGGAGAAACAACCUUAGAGCGCUUAGACGAGAUGACACGCGUCUCUUCUAAUUUAACCAAGGUCCUGAGUUCGAAUCCAGCCUUGGGCAUGCAACAACGUUAAAAUUCUUAGGGAAAGUUUGCUGCCCAUUUGAGUCCCACAAGGCUCCAUUCUUGAGGAGAGUUUGCCGUCCAUUUAGGUCCAUAAGGCUCAAGAGAUUAGUAUUUGCAAGGGAGAAAUAGACUGAAUAGGAUAGUAAAUGAUCAAAUGUAAUAUAGGUAAAAUAUAAAUAACAGUAAAAAGGAAGUACAAUAAUUUAACAAAGUAAAGUGUUAACUGAUGAGUAAACCACUAAAUUGAUCCAUGUAUUUUUAAGUCACUUUCAAAUUAGUCACCAACUCUAUUAAUAUUUCAAAAUAGUCUUUGAUCACAAGCUGUUUUAUUUUUCUCGUCCUGCGACAAAUCAGCCACCAAGUUUGCAAAAUCGGCCACCGAUUUUUCACGAGACAAAAGUAUCCAAAACCAGGUCAGAAUCGGCCUUCGUGUGGUACAAAUCGGCCACCGAUUUUGACAGAUAUAAUGCACAUUUUUGAGUCACUUUUCAACAUAUACCAUUGAUCAUAACUUCAUAAGAUAGGAGUAUGUGCCAAUUGCAAUUGCCAAACAAUUUAUUUACUAUUUUAGUCAAACGAAUUUUCACUUUUGAGGAAUCAACAUUGAAUUAUGAAAUGUUGAAAUGAUAUAAACAUUGAAUUAUGAUCCAUGUGUGCUGUUUUGAUAAACAUGUUGCCUUUAGUUAAUUAAACUUGUCCAAUAAAGCAUAGACUCUUGAACAUGGAUCCUAGCUUAGAGCUAAUUGAUUCACAUUUCAAAGAUUCAUGCUUGUGUUCUUCUUGCACAACGUCAAAUGAAAUGUUUCAUAGUCUUUCCAUUCGUUUCUCUUAAUCUUAUCAUUUUUUGUGGAUAUAUUUUUAGAGGCACCACUCUCUUGAUUCGCCCAAGGCAUCCAAAUUUAAAGGGUCGGCCCUGAUCUUACCUUUUCCUAUUUAUCUCUUAAAGUCUAUUUUUUUUUAAUGAUGGUUCACUAAUAGGAGAUUCAUGGCACAAUUCAUUACUGGACUUGGCUUCAAAUGACCACUUUAAGAGCAUGAGUGACUCUAAUAUGUAAACAUUGUGUUACAUAAUAUCCUAAAUGUUUUAUAUGAUAAGUCUUUGUCCAUAUUUGAUCCAACAAGAAAAUAUAAGUUCACUAAUGUGCAACUAAAAUAGUAAUUAUAGUAGUCUUUUGUGAUCGUAUUCUAUUUCAUGUUAGUGUUGUCAAAGGAAAAAUAUCAUUUUCUUAUAGUAGUUUUAUACUAUCUUCCAAGAAAGAACUUGGUUAAUGCCAUCAUAGGAUGAUGUUAAUUUAACAUUUGGAAAUCCACUUGACCACCAUUUGUAUCAGUUUCUGUUGCAAUUUGACUCAAAAAUUGGAGUUUGGAGAAAGUGAAGAAUCAUGACACGAUUCUUAUGGUGUGUCACGAUUUCUGAGGCAGAAUGUAAGGUUGAUCCUGGAGGCAAAUCGUGACACGAUUUAGGGGUUUUUUGAAGUAAUUCACGAAGAAAUCAUGCAAAUCGAUAAAUCAAGAACAUCUUAAAAAAUGCACUGAAUAUGCCUAGGGCAUGCUAUAUGCUUGCCGAUCAUCUUAAAUGUGAGGGGAGCAAGCGUAAUUUUAUUUGUUUUAAUGAGUUUAGCCCGCGUUCUUUGCCCAAACCUAGUUAGAAAUCUCCACUAUAAAUACUAGUCUUCCUCAUUCAGAAUUUCUCGUUCAGAACUGUGGCAGUUCAAGAGGAAUGCAACUUUAGAGCUUCGGGAGAGAAUCUAUAUUUUCCUUUAUUUUCUAGGGUAUGUUUUUAUCUUUAGUAAUUUGUUUUUAGUUACCAUGUGUAACUAAAUCUUUUUAGGUUAGAAUUCUAAGAUGAACCUCUGUCUCUGUUUAUUUUUGUUGGAUAUUUAUUUAAUAUUAUAUGUCGUUUAUUAUAUUUAUUCUUUUGUUCGCUAUUAAGUUCCUGAUUCAGUUAUUUAUUUCAAAGGAGUGUAACCCUAUAUUAGGUACUUAGGUUAUGACAGGGCCUAACGUUGUUAUUACUAUCUUUAUAGCAUUAUGCUAGUAACUAUCUGUCUAGGAAGUAAGUGAUUAUUAACUAGAAAGUUGACCUUAGUAGUAACUACUUAGGAGGUGACAUUACUAAGACUGAGUAGUAACGUUGCUUAACCUAGGAUGUAAUUGGUUAGUAAAUAGGUAAACAAGCGUCUUCGGGGAAUAAGACUUUAUCGAACCUGUAACACCCCGUUAACCCAACAAUAUAAAUAUAAUAAUAAAUCAGAGUUUAUCACCAAAACGGGCAUGCUACAUUGUGUUAUACCCUGAUUUUGGACCUAAAAAUACUCGUUCCUUUUUUAAAAAACUGAUAUUUGUCAAUUCUCUGUUAUUUUACUCUGAAUCUUUACUCUCUUUUUAAACGUAUUUUACUGCCUCUGUCUUUUCUAACAUUACAAGUCAUUUAAGAACCCUCUGAAACGUCGCAUUACUUUUCUUGCAUUUUAUUUCAAAAAAUCAUACAAAAGGGUAUUUUGGUCAUUUCCUGCAGUGGAACCCAUUUUAGUCCCUGUGUUUGCCUCUGAGUCUUUUCAAUUUGUCUGUACAAAUCAUUGUUGAGUCUUUGUUUAAAAAUUAUUUCAAAAAUUGCAUCUGAGUCAGUUUGAGUCAGUUUAGUCCCUAGGGGCAUUUUGGUCUUUUCCUGUCAAAAUUUCGGCAGAGAGGUAUUUUAAAAUACCUCAUUUUUGUAGCUGGUUCAUUUUAGUCCUUUUGUUGAUUUUAUUUUUGGUUUCACUUUACGUUUUGUCCAAUUUACCAAUUUUAGUCCAAUUUUAUUUUUAUUGCAUUUUAGUCCCUGAAACAGUUUCUAAAAUUGCAUUUUAGUCCAAUACUUUUUAAAAUUGCAUUUUUAAGUCCUUUUUCAUAAUUGCAGAUUAGUCCUUUUAUUUUUUCCUUUUUGCAGCAAGGUCCUUAAGUCCAAUUACAGGUGUCCCUCUUUCAUUGGGUCUCAAGCACACUUGGCAGCCUAUAAAAGGCGCAAUUACUGUACAAGUCAGAAUCAGAAUCCAUUCAUCACACGCCACAUCACAAACACUUUCCAACUUCAAAGAUCAAAACUCAACAAUUUCCAGAAAUCACGAAGAACACCAAGAACACUCAAACCCUAACCGUUUCCAAAUUCCACCAGAAUCAACACAAAUCAACACAAAACAUCACAAAUCAGUGCAAAUCAACAGAGAAUCAACAAGAUCUUUCGCAAUUCUCAGAGAUUCAUCACUGAAUCUUCAUCAUCGAAUCGGUUUCCUUCGCAAUUCAAGGUGCGAAUUCGCCAUUGGCAAACUCCAGCACCGAUCACGAAGGAAUCAGUGAGAAGAAGAAGAAAAGAAGCAGAAUCUGGACCGGUGAAGAAGAAGAAGGAACGGCACCGAUUUAUUUUCGGUUUAAAGCAAGAAAUCAACAAGCAGCAUCAAAAUUCAAGUUUCUCAAAGAUCUCCAGUUCGAAAUCUCCAACUAAACCAGAGGUAAACACGUAAACUUCAUCUUUCUUUCUCGAAAAGCAUCAACGCAAGUGAAUCGUUACAGAUCGAGAAAGAUAAAAAGGAUUUGAGCCAAGAAAGUUUCAAACCUAAAAAAAAAAAUUCAAAACCGUAACACAAAACUUCAGAUCUACAACGAUUCAAACCUUGCAUGUAAAAUCUAAUGCCAUAUUCUUGCUUAGAACGAAAAAGGAUGUCUUAAUCUGCAAAAAAAUUUGAAAACGGAGGAGUUUCUCAUCUCCGGUGCGGCGGCGCCGCCCUGUUGGGCCGGCAAACCACCACACCGGAGCGGUGAAGCUCACCGGAGAAGACGACCGGAAGAGAGGAGAGAGGUGAGAGCUUCUCUCACUAGGUUUAGGUUAGAAAGAGAGAGGAGAAAGAAGAAUGAACUGGACCGGUCCCCCAACCCUUUUAUAACCAACUGAACCGGACCGGUCCAAUUCUGGUUCGUUUUCCCUCAAUCUAGACCGUUGGAUCUAGGGUUCCAUCUCCUGGAUCAAUCCAACGGUCCCUGUACUUUCCUGUGAUCCGGUGUUGGACUUUGGGUUUGGGCCUAAGGUUCCUUUGCGUUUUUGCUUUUUUUUUGUGCUAUCUGCACCCUGCUUUUUGCUAAUUGAACCUCUGCAUGCUCAAUCUUUUCUCUAAAAAUUCCUAAAAAAUUGUUAUAUGCUUCUUAGUACAUUUUAAUGCUUUUGUGAUAUUUUUCAAUGGUUUAAAAAAUGAUAAAAAUGUGUGUGUUUUUUUUUUCUUGAUUAAUUUUGUGUUUGAUCUAAGUUUGUGUAUUUUUGUGGUAUAUUUUCUCAUAAAAUGUUGGCAUGUGAUGUGGAUGAUUGGUGUGUAAUUUCAUGGUGAAUAUGUUGCUGAUCAUAUGUAUGUCUUGCUGAUUGUGGAUGUAAAUUUUCAUUCCUUUCUUGUUUUGCAAGUAAUGUGUGCUUUUACCAAGAAAUAAAGUGCAAAAUAUCUUAAAAAAAUGUAUCAUGAUUCUUGGCUUGAAUGUGUCCUAUUUGUUCCCACAUUAUAGCUCAAAAUCAAACCCCUUUAACAUUGCUAUAAUGGGGGGAUUAUGGGUCAUGUGCAUGUCUAAGUGUCAUAACCAAUUUUAGGUAUAUUUUGCCAUUUUAUUUCAUUUCAUUACUUUUUUUUCUCUUGCUAUUCUAUUCAAUUUUGUUUACCUUUUUUUACCAUUUUUAUGCCUUAUGAUACUAACCAUUUCAUUUCAUAUUUCAUCCAUCUCAUAGUUUAGGCAUUAUUUUUUUCUAUUCAUUUCUAUAUCAAAUGGGUUUGUAAUAAUUUUAGGUAGAUUAGUUCCCUUUUUAAUUCCUUGCAAGACCAUAGCAUGUAUCUAGGACUCAAUGUAAAGGACUAUGGACACUAUAAGUGAUGUACACCGACACGAGCACCGAUACAUGCACACACCCCACAUGGAUGUUCUAGAUGCAUGAUUAGGGAAUGUAUGUUUAGAUGUAUGCUUAGGUUUUAUAAUGCUUAGACAAAAAAUCAUUUUCCCAAAAAAAUGUGAAUAACCUCACUUGAAAACCCUUUUUCAAAAAAAUAGGAGUCAAAACUCCUCAUUUUCCUUUUAUUUUCUUAAGUAAAAAUCUUAAUGAAUUUUAAUCAUACUUAGACUUUAUUUUGCAAAAUAACUAAUUCCACCUCACAUUUUCCAAAUCUCAUGCCCUUGAGGCCUCUCAUCUCCAUUCUUCAAAAUUCCUUUUUCAAACUUAAAAUCAACCAACAAAAACAAAAACAAUUUUCGAGAAUGAACUACGUUUGGUUUUGAUCCCUUAAAAGGGUACGUAGGCAAUGAGUUAAAACUCCUCCAAGCCAAGUAAAAUAAAAUCUCAAUCAUCUUCUUCCCCCAUUCUUCACUCAAAUAAAACCCCUUUUUUAAUAAGUAGGGGAUAAAAAUAAAGCGUAGAAAUAAACUUAGGAGAACGGUUCUUAUGGAAUAACAUAAUCGUUCCGGGUGCCUAACACCUUCCCGUAGCGAAAACGACCCCCGAACUUAGAAACUCUAAGGGUUUUCUCAAUUUUGCCCUUCCCAAGAAAAAAUAGAGAUUAUCAAAGAUUGAAAGGUUCAAGCCUAAUUAAUGAUUUGACACCCGAAAAUCGCGAUAACACAUUGCUAUUUCAAAAUUCUUAAAUAGAAUAAAACACUAUUUAAUAAACAUCAACUUUAUUAGUUUCACCAAAACCUUGCAGCGGAAUAUUUUUCAAUAAUAAAUAACAUCAACAUCAAACGUUUAAUUCUCCAAAUAAUAAUCCUGGCAUAAAAGCCUCAACAAAGUAUUCAUCAAAAGUUAAUUCAAACAACUAAAUGAGGGCUCCAGAACAUGUUCCUAAAAUAUGAUACAUAAAGAAUGAAAAUUAAACAACUAUUUCCCAUCCCGUUACGUAUCAGAGCCCUAGACACUUGAGCCAUCAUCUACUACUCAGGAUCACCUGCAAGUUACCCAUAGGAAGGGCAACAUUUCCAAGCAGAAGGGUGAGAUUCACAAACAAUAAUAAUAGAUAUAUAAAUCAUCAAUUGAAUCUAACACCCUAAAUUUCAUCAAUACAUCAUUAUAUAUAUAUUUCAUGAUCACAUCAUUAACUUCAUAUUCAUCUUCAAUCAAUAGUAAGAAUUAUUACUCAAUCACCAACAACGACUCAUGCACUGACAUGACGACACCACUAAGACUCCUCAACAAAUGCAACUAUACACAUGCAUGUGGUACCAUUUUACAGGGCAGAAGUCCCCACCGAAUUUGAAUGGUUAAAGCAUUCACAGGGCAUAAGCCCUCACCAAUUUGAACAACAAGGUGUUCCAGGGCAUGAGCCCUCCCGCUUUGAACGACAAGGCGUUCCAGGGCAUGAGCCCUCCCACUUUAUAUGAUUAUGCAAUGACUCCACUUGUGUAUAUCUACAUACAACUCGACAAUGCAUACAACGACAACCACUACUCAUCAAUGCAUAUAUGUAAAUAUGACUUCACCUCGACAAUCCAAUUAAUAAUACUUCAACCUUUGAAAAGAAUUCACAACAACAUGUAUAAUUUAUUUAAAUAUAAAUAUACAUCACAACCAACAAUAAUCCAUCAUAAUUAAUCCAACAAUUCCAGAAAAAUACACAAUUAAUCAUAAUCAUGCUCCUGCAUCUAAUUCAUUCAACAUUAUUCAAUUACGUAGCAAACAGCUUCAGAUACUGGGUAACUCGCCUCGCGAGUGCAUCUGCUUGCUAUGGCGAACUCAGGAAAUGGGUUACUCGCCGUGGCGAGUACGAGGCGAACGAGAAAAAGGUGCUCUCGGGAGUUUUGACAUUUUUCUCACUAAAACUUCAUUUUUAAGCUCCCUAUUCAUCUUUUUAAUUUAAAAAUUGUCCCAGUCCUCUCUAAAAACAUCCAGGCACUCAAAACUAACCAAAUUACACCUUAUAACAACAAUUUAAAAAUCAUGAUCUCUCACUCACUUACUCGCCAUGGCGAGUGGUUCUGCUCGCGAGGCGAGCUAUGAAGAUUGCUCACUCGCGAGGCGAGACAAGUUACUCGCUGGGGCGAGCGAUGAAGGUCUGUACGGGCAUAAUGCAGGUUUUUCCUAAAAAUCCCAAUUUUCUCAAUUUCAAUCCCCAAAACAGUUUACAGAUGUAUAAUGAGAUACUGUCUACAACCUGAACACAUUUCUAACACUAAAGCAAUGGUUUCUACACUCUUUUCCAUCCAAAAUCAAAGAAUCAAAUCUAAACCCAAAUUCCCAAUUUUCUACCAAAAACAUGUUAAAUCCAAAAUCAGAAUUACAAUCUACAUAUUGAAAGUAAACCUCACCCUUACCUUAAUUACAAUCUACAGGAUUCUGGUUCUCUUGGCUCUUCUCCCUUGUUCUUGGUUUUUCUCCCAAAACUCUGUUGUACGUAAAACAGUUUCUGACUUUCUCUUUUCCUAACUCCCAACACUUAACUCCCCCUUUAUUUCACUUAACUCCCUCUUAAAUCUAUUAAUUCUAAUUAAAUCCCCAAACUCCAAAAUAAUAAUAAUAAUAAUUCUCACUUAUUCUAAUUAAUAUCAAAAUAAAUCAUAUAAUAAAAUAUAACACACCACAUAAUCAAUAAUAAUUAUUUAAAAUCAUAUAAAAGACUCUAAAUAAAUCAUAAAUAAAUAAAAUAACGACUAGGGCGUUACAGAACCACUCUCUUGAAACCCUUAGUAAGGUAGACGUAGAUUAGGGCUGCCCGUUUGUAGAACUACUAAGAGCGUAGAGAGAGAGUGUGGUAUGAUUGUCCUAAGAUUCAUAGAUGGGAUGACCUAAGGGAACCUUGGCCUUCAUUGCCUUGGGAAACACUAGAAGACCAGUUUAAGUUUAUGUUUCCAUUACCUUUGAAUUAGCAAGACGCCGCACCUAAGGAUCACCAUGUGAUCAGCAGAUGCAGUUAGUCAUCGGAGGGAUAUACUAAUUAGGUUAGUAAUGUCCCAACGGCCUCAUCACUUGUAUAGUCUACCUAAGAUAAAUAAUUGCGACAUUGUUGUUACUUAAUAUCCAACAAUAUAAACAGGGGGAAUUCGAAAAAUUCUAACUGCUGUUUAUUUAUCUGCAACCAAAACAGGUAAACUUGCUCUGUUGCAAACAGAUAAAAAUUGCAACCUUUCUAACCCUUUUAUCUUUUACAUCGUCAACUUACAAAAAUAAGUAACGUGAGUUUUUUUGACGAAACGACAAUCUCUGUGGAUAUGAUUCUCUACUUUUCUCUUUAUUACUUGGUAAACGAUUUGCUACAUUUGCCAUAUCCGACCAUCACAGGGUAUGCAAACAUAGAUGCAUUAUUAUGCAAACUUGCCAUCAUGGAAGUUGGAAUACCAAAAGGUUGUUCCCUAGAUAGAUUAUGCGUGGUUAUGAACCUAUCAUCAAGUCUAGCCCUAACUUGAGGAGAAACAAGAAGGCUAGUAGACACAGGUACACCAGCAGUAAUGGAGGCACAAAGGUCCCCAUUUCUAGUUGUGUAACUACAACAACAAUUGUUGAAACGGUUGUAGGAGCAGUUACUCCCAUUUCCGUCAAAACUUGCAUAGCCAUGGUUGCUCCCACGACCGUUGAUACACUAGCGCCCAUUGUAGGGGAAGAUGUAUGCACAAACUUGUGAAGAGGAUUGUGGUGAUUGUGAUGACGCAGAAUUACCAGUAUUGGUUGGUCUAGCCAUUUCUUUCAUAGUUUUACCACUUCUUAAAUGCAUGCACAAACAAAUGUAUUUUCAGAAGAAAAAAAAAAGUUCACCAAAACAGUUAACAAUUUCUAAAAACGGUUUUCACAAGAACAGUUAGAAAAUAAUUUAAAAGUUAUGGAAGUUAUUUCCAAAAUUUUGCACAAACAGGGUCCCACUGGGCGUGCCUAUUUGUUUACUGGUGUUUUUGGUAAACAAGAAGGGCUGAUUUGGUUAUUACAAGCAGGAUCAAACCAGAAAUCCUAGGAUAUAUUGUGCAAAGUUUUUUCAGAAAGUGAGUGAGUGUUCAUCAGAUCCAUAAGUUGCUUUAUGAACAAGACAAAUUUGUGUAGUGUCUUUCAAUAGAAAGAGUAACGAAAAUGCAAGUAAAAGACUUUAAAAGUUUAAAACGCAGAAACUUAAAGAAAAGGUAAAUUGCCUUGCAUUAAUGUAAAGGUGGUUCGACAAAUCAGAUUACAUACAUUUUGUAUGACUCUUUUCUUUAGACGCUGGUGCUUCGAGUGCUAGAAUUCUAUAAGUGAUUUGUGACCUGAUGAGAUAAAACCGCAAGUGCACGGUCUUACCGAAGUAGUAUGAAAAGAGUAUCGUUCCGACAGGGAGUAGUUUAAUUUAAUUAACCUUUGGAAAUGAUUAGAGGAGAAAAGAAUUGUAAGUUGGGGUUUUCAAACGGUUGAAAAUUAAUAUAAUAAAAGGAGCCUUGGGAUCGUUGGUUUCAUCUAAAUAACAAGUCCUUCUCAAACCAAAACUAUAAGCUUAUAAUGUUAUGUUAGACCUAAUUUCUCAAGACAGUUUCUCUUAUGUUCCUCUAGCAACCAAGCCUAUUUCGCUGACUUGAUUAUUAUCAGAUUUUGGUUCCUCUAACAACCAAGCCUAUUUCGCUGACUUGAUUGUUAUUAGUUCUCUUGAAGGUCGAAACUAUAUGUCUCAAAGAUUUCAAAGCCUAUUUCGCUGACUUUGCAAUCCUUGUCUGAAUUCACUUGUUCGAAUAUCAAAGCUCCACUUUCGUUUUAUGAAUUGAUAUUUGGAAUAAUGGAUAAACAAUUAUCAAACCCUCCACUUUCAUUUCCACAGUUUGAUAAUGGUUGAUCCAUGUUACGACGGUGAAUUCAGAUAAGAAAUUAGGGUUACAUAAGAUAAAGGAAAAGAAAAGAACUUUAAUUAGAAAAGCAAUUGUCACUUAUUGAAUUCCAAGUAAAGAUGAAUAUUUGUGAUGGAUGGCUACUCUAUUUAUAGCAUUUGUUCGACUUAAAAUCUAAGCUAUUACAUUCGGGCUAAAAAUAGAGUAGCUUAAAAUCUAAGCAAAAGCAGCAAAAGUGACUAUGGAGGGUGGCACGGCCGUGCCAAGGUUAGCACGGGCCGUGCCAAGCUUAGCACGGGCCGUGCCAAGCUUCUGGCAUGGGGGAGACAUAUUUUUGUCUCUCAAUCUUCAUAUUUUUGCAUCCAAUCGGUUCCAAGUCCCUUUCUUUUGCUCCAAGACUCAAUCCAUCCAAUAUUCAUUCCUGAAAUAAAAUAAAAUGCAAUUUAAAGUAAACUAUCCUAAAAAGGAAAUAAUACUAACAUAAAAUAAAAUAAAAUCUAAAUAAAACUAAACUAAAAAGCAUAUUAAAAUAGUCAAUAAAUGACUCAUCAUGACCCAUUUUCCAUAUGAAAAACUACUAUUUAUACAUAGUAAAAUAACUGAAAAAGGCUAACUGCUAUGUUCAGAACUUCUUCCAUCGAAAAUUGAUUGUCCCCCACGUCUUCACUAAGGCAACCGCUGCUUUUGAAAUUGAAUUAUUUCUUCUUCGACAGUAAUUGUUUGACUUCGACGAAUUUAUAUCUUGUCGAACUUCGAAACUUUUAGAAUCUUCCAAACACUAAGCCCAGACUUUGUCAAAAUCCUCAUGUUGAAGCAACAAAAAAAAAAAUUUGAUUCCUGAAAAGACAAAAGUCAACAAAUGUUGACUGCAUUAAUUGAGCCUAUUGAAAUUGCAGGCUAACAAGGGGGUGUUCGGAUUAUAUAAUGCGAAAAAAUCAAGGAACGCACCUUUUUUUUUUUUUUUUUUUAAGUUUUCGAAUUAUAAAAUCCGAAUUGGUGAAGAACUCAUUUUUUCACCCUGGAACAAAGAAAAAACUCAGCUCGGAUUUUAAAAUCCGAAAAUCACAUGGGCAUUUGUGAAAAAAUUACAAGGCGCGUGAGAAUGAUAUAGGAUGAGAAAUGUAAUAGUCUAAAAAAAAAAAAAUUUAGUUGGGUUGGUCGGGUUAAUUAGGGCUCUGACGGGUCCAAAAUAAACACCUGAACUGAACUUACCCAUAACAACCUGUAAAAUUCACCCAACUAACCCAUUUUAAUCGGAAUUAAAUGUGAAAAAUUACAUCGGAUUAGUCAGAUAAUUUCAGAUUGACCCGUAAUUACCCACCUACACCUUGAAAAUCGUGGACAAUGGCGUGUUGCUUUUAUACUAAAAGUACUUAUCUUUUGUUUUCUAAUAUAAAGUGAAACUUGACCCAUGUAUAAUGUGUUGUCCACUUCUUAUUUUUUAUUUUUUUUUAGAAAUGUUAUGGACAAACUCUCAAACACACUCCUUUGAACACACCCUCAACCAUUGGUCCACAUCACCCCUUUUUUAAAAUCACUUAACUGAAUACUGGCUUAGCCUGUAAAUAAAACAAACUGUUCUAAUAAACUUCUUCCUUUCCCAACCCACCGUCAAUGACCUUCUUUGUUCCGAAUUUCCACCUAACCAUUGACACCUCUUGAAUAUCAAUUUUUGAUCAAUUUCAUUCAAUUUUCCUGAGAGGUUGAAAGGUACCACUGAUAUUCUUUUUGAGCGAUGACAAAGUGUUCGAAAUAAUUUAAAUCUUCAAUUACUCGUGAUGCUUGUCAAAUACAGGAAUUCAUGAGAAUAGCACAUAACCUAUUUUAUUUAUCUAGGCAAAACAUUUAACCAUCGACUCUAUGACAUAACCAUAAAUUGAAUAGUGUCUUGUGGGUCUAUGGGUAAAGAGAAAUCGUGUUGUGAAGAUAAGCAUUUUAGUGUGUUGCUUUUGUAAUACAUACAAGUGCUUCUUGUUCAGCUUUGUUUUUUCUACUAUUGAUUUGGUGUCGACUUCUUAUUUGUUCUCCAUGUCCUUUUACAAGUAGUUCUAGACUUCUAGCAUCCAAAAAAACCAUGCUUCCUUCCUGAUAUGUUUAUUUUGUUAUGUACUUGACCUGUUGACCAUGUAACAUGUUAUCUCAUACCUUCUUUUUUUUUUUUUGAAGGAAUGUUAUCUCAUACCUAAAAAGGCCUUGGCUGAGUUCUUUUAAUGCAAUAUUUCUUGAAUAAAUAAAUUUAAUUUGUCUUGAAGGGUUCUUUUAAUGCACUUUAAUUUGUCUUUGGGAAGUUGACUUUGAGCAAAUAAAUUUAUAGUCAUAAAUUCAGAACCAAAAAUUAAAUAUGGCUUUGCAAUAUUUCUUGGAUAAAUGUUUCAUGAUAGCACUUUAAUAUGUUUCAAAAAAAAUCUUGAAUUAUGUGUAAAAAAAUUAAAAUUGUCUUGAAUUUUUGUUACUAAAUUAAUUUAUUUAGUUCCGUAAAAUAAGGAUACUUCAGAAUAACGAAAGACAUUUUUUCCGAAGGAAACUAUCAAAAAGUACAUGUUUUGAUUAAAAUUUAAACACAAUUGAAUAGGGAUGGCAAAAUGGGCUAGACCCGUCGGGUUAACCCGUUUAACCCACCAUUUUUAGCAGGGUGAGUUGAGAUUUUGAACCCGUCACAAGCAGGUGCCCGCUCCGCCUAACCCGCUAAAAAGCAGGGCGGCGACGGGCGGGGGUGGGUUGCCUCGAUGUCUUAACCCAAUCAGUGUGUGCCACAUAUCUAAUUACAUGCCACAUCAGGAAUCAAAUGUGUUUAAGAUCAAAACUCAAAUGAUUAAUAAUUGCAGAGAAGACCUGACAAAAAAAAAAUUGCAGGGAAGAAAUGAGAGGAUUAAUAAGUACAGAGACUAAAAUUCAAUUGAGCCUUAUUUGCAAGGACGAUAGACAUAUUUAAACUUUUUUUUUUUAAGAAGAAAAUCGGAAAAAUAUUGAUAUCAUCAAUUAAAAAUUAAAAUUAACCUUAACAAACAAUUUGCUAACAAAAAAACAUAAACAAUUCUUAUUUCUUUUCAAAACUACAUUUCAACGAGUAAAAGAAAAUGGUUUAAUCGUAAAAAAAUGGAUAGUAUUAUGUUGUUGUUGUUAUUAUUAUUACUAGUGGAAACAUGUGUGAAUACUUUAUUAUAUUUGUUUAAAUAAUUUUGAUUAUAAUUUAAAAAAAUUAAAUAUUGAUAGAAAUUAUCCGAUUUAUCUUCAAAUUAUUGUCUAAAUAUAUAACGAAAUUAUUUAUCAACUCAGCAUAUUUUGGUUUGUCUGUAUUAAAAAUAAUAAUAAAAUAAUGAUAUUUUUCUUAUUGAUUAUAUUUCUAGUGGCAUAUACUUCUAGUUUGUUAUAUUUUUUUUAAGAAUAAAGAAAAAAAAAUUGGACAUAUAUUCAUAUUAUGUAAUUUAUGUUUGUUACACGAUAUAUUUUGUGUGGCAACAAAAAAAAAAGUGUUUAUUACAUUUUUCUUUUAAUAUUUGAAUUCACCUUUCAUUUAUUAUCUUUAUAAAAUGAUUAAGGAAAAAAAAAUCAAACAUAUACAAUUUAUUACAUUUUGUUUUAAUAUUUGAAUUUACUCUUGUCUAUUUGUUACAAAUGUUAUUUGUAUUGACGUUGAAGGUAAUAUUGGAAGGAGAAAAAAUCAGACCAAAAGAGGCAAAAGAUACUAUUUUCUUUAUAUAUAGUAUAUAUUAUUAUUAUUAUUAUUAUUAUUAUUAGAAGGAGAAUGAUAACCAGUGUCUAAGGGCGGGCAAUGGUUAGGGUACUGAUUAAGCAUCUAAAAUAAGUAAGUUUUCAUUGAAAAGUUGUGCAAUAAUUUCUUUAUCAAAAGUAACAUUUUAUAUUUCAAAAACAAAGUUUUUAUUUAUAGAUUCCUUAACCAUUAUCCCGAGGGCCAGACCUUUAUUAUAAAUGCCACUUUAUUUAUCCGUUGUCUUCUCAAAGAAAACACCAUCUCAAUGUGUCAAAAAUAAGGAAAAAGAUACAUAGACCACUCUUUCUAUACACCCCUUUGCACCACUAAUAAUGUGGUAUGGGCAUUUUAGUAAUUUCACACAUUUUAUAAUUUCAUUCAUCCCAGGACCUUGCUUGCUUUCUCUCUCUCCUCAAACGUACUUAGUAAAGUUGACUUAUAUUCAUUUCUUUAGUUGUGAAAUUUUCCUAACAAUCAAACAGGGUCCUUGAAAACACAUAUAGUAUGCCUAUCACCACUCCAAAAAUAAGGAGACAACCUGUGUGCAAUUACUGUCACUACCCAUAGAGAAGGAGAGAAAUAUUGGAGGAGAGGAUCUAUAUCCCAAUGCCUCACUCCCUUGUGCUGCACCUUCCCUUAACCUUCUCAGCUUUUUCUACCUUCACACCUUUAACACUACGUUCUGUUCAUUCAGCUAUCAACUUAAUUUCUUCUAUAUAUAUACAAACAAACAAACACAAUAUUAAGAAACAAACACUCAGACUUAUAGAUAAAUCAGUUUACUCAAUUCUUACAUCAUAUUAUCAUGACACAAGCUUCAUUGUCUGUCUCUUCUAGCUUCACCUAUGAUGUUUUCAUCAGUUUUAGAGGAAUAGAUACCCGCAACACUUUCACUGGUAACCUCUACAAUUCUCUUGAUCAAAAGGGUAUUCACACUUUCCUUGAUGAAGAAGAAAUUCAAAAAGGAGAACAAAUAACACGAGCACUUUUUCAAGCAAUUCAACAAUCUAGGAUUUUCAUUGUUGUUUUCUCUAACAACUAUGCUUCCUCAACUUUUUGUUUGAAUGAACUUGCCGUGAUCCUUGAGUGUUCCAACACACAUGGACGCUUGCUUUUGCCCGUUUUUUAUGAUGUCGAACCAUCACAAGUUCGCCACCAAAGUGGUGCUUAUGGUGAUGCUUUGAAAAAACAUGAGGAGAGGUUUAGUGAUGAUAAGGAUAAGGUGCAAAAAUGGAGGGAUGCUUUAUGUCAAGCUGCUAAUGUUUCUGGCUGGCAUUUCCAACAUGGGUACAGUAUUUUAUAAUCUCAUACCAUACUUAUGCAUUUAUUUUAAGGUUAAAUAAGUUUUUCAUCCCUAUAAAUAUAAUAGAUUUUGAUUUUAGUCCUUAUGAAAGUCGAACAUAAUAAACUGACAUAACAUGAACAUAUUAUGAACUUAAAAGACUCGUAAUUCAUAUUAACAUGAAUUGACCAUUAGGGACCAAAAACAAAUAAAAAAAUUUGUGAGUACAAAAACAUUCAGUUUAAUUUUUUAAGGACUAAAAUCAAAAUUCGCUAUAUUUUUAGGGACGAAAAACUUAUUUAACCAUUUAUUUUAAUUACCCUUCUUUUGCUUGUUUAAUAGUUUUUAUAUAGAUGAUUUUAGAAUGCAAAAGAAAUCUCAGAUGCAAAUUCUAUAUGAAGGGAACAUAUAGCAAGUAAAUAAGCAUGAUUAUUAGUACUUUAUGUGCACAAAUUAAUUAGCCUCGUAAUGUGUCAAGUUCUUCAUAAGUUCAUUUUUUUUUAAUCAGCAAAUAUUAUUAAACUAAGUUAGCAUAAGAAGCGCUAAACUCGCAAAGGAGGAAAAAGAGUACACAAGUGCCAAAUAACAACAGCGCGUAACCACCCAUCCGUGUCUCACUAAAAAACCUCCUAGAAAAACAAAAUCUGUUAAAAAAGGAAAAGCAACAGACCCACAGGCAAGGAACCAAAGACCCACGGCCUCCUAAACCAAAAACUCCUUAGACAGCCACGGCAAUAUGCAACAAAACACCAAGACCUCUUAAACAAAAAAACCUACAACGCCAAGAGAAACGCCACUCCCUCUCUGAACCAUUCCACACGUACUUAACAAAUUGAUUUCUAAGUAAUGCUUGGUAAGGGACUAAUUUGACUGAUAUUUGAGACUUUUAAGAACCAAAUUGAUACUUUUUUAUUUCUUUGGACCCAAAUAGGUCUUAGUGUUUUUUCUCAAUGACCAGUUUAUACUUUUACUUAAAAGAAUGAUGAACUUGUGAAUUGUGAAACCGGAAAAACAGAUUUGUGAUAAGUUGACACACUAUGUGACUAACCAAAGUAACGGAAGUUGCAAAUUCUAAAGACAUAAUUGUAUUUUACCUGUAAUGCAUACUUCUGUGAUGUGUAGGUCACAAUCAGAAUACAAAUUUAUUGGAAAUAUCGUUGAGGAAGUCACUAAGAAGAUCAAUCGCACUCCUUUACAUGUUGCUGAUAACCCAGUUGGGCUAGAUUAUCCAGUGUUAGAUGUGGCAUCUCUUCUAGGGAUCGGAUCUGAUGAGGGAGCCAACAUGGUUGGCAUUUAUGGAACCGGCGGUGUAGGAAAAUCAACAUUGGCUCGUGCUGUGUAUAAUAACCAACUUUCUGAUCAAUUUGAUGGUGUGUGUUUUCUUGCUGAUAUAAGAGAAAGUACAAUUAAACAUGGUCUUGUGCAACUCCAAGAAACACUACUUUCUGAAAUACUUUGUGAGAAGGAUAUUAGAGUGGGUAAUGUUAACAGAGGAAUUUCAAUCAUAAAGAGGAGGCUCCAAAGCAAAAAGGUACUUUUGGUUCUUGAUGAUAUUGACAAAGCGAAGCAGAUACAAGUACUUGCAGGUGGACAUGAUUGGUUUGGCUCCGGCAGCAAGAUCAUAAUCACUACAAGAGACAAACAUUUGUUGGCUAUUAAUGGGAUUCUAAGUUUAUAUGAGGUUAAACAGUUAAAUAAUAAAAAAUCUCUUGAGUUGUUUAACUGGUAUGCCUUUAAAAACAACAAUGUUGAUCCAUGUUAUGGCGAUAUCUCAAAACGUGCAGUUUCUUAUGCUGGUGGCCUUCCGUUGGCUUUGGAGGUCAUAGGUUCUCAUUUGUGUGGAAGAAGUUUGUGUGCAUGGAAAGAUGCAUUAGAUAAAUAUGAAGAAAUUCCUCAUGAAGAUAUUCAUGAAACUCUUAAAGUUAGCUAUAAUGAUUUGGAUGAAAAAGACAAGGGUAUUUUUCUUGACAUCGCUUGUUUCUUCAACUCUUAUGAAAUGAGCUAUGUCAAAGAAAUGCUAUACCUACAUGGUUUUAAAGCAGAAAAUGGAAUUGAAGUGCUAACUGACAAAUCCCUCAUGAAAAUUGAUGAUGGCGGUUGUGUGAGAAUGCAUGACUUAGUUCAAGACAUGGGCAGAGAAAUUGUGAGGCAGGAAUCAACUUUGGAGCCUGGCAAACGCAGUAGAUUAUGGUUUCAUGACGACAUAAUUCAUGUUUUGGAAGAAAAUACGGUACGUGCCAACCUCAGCAUAUAUGUUGUUCUUUUGAAUGAUAACUAAUAAAUUUUUAUAUUCUUAUUUAUCCAUUCUCAAUUACAAAUGCUUAAUGAAACUUAUUUUAAUAAGAAAAGGAUAUUAUUAUCUAGAUGAUGAUAUUCCUAAACUUGACAUUCUGAUUAAAUAAUGAUUUGGAAUUGAAAGGGCACUGAUACAAUUGAGGUCAUAAUCAUCAACUUGUGCAAUGACAAAGAAGUGCGUUGGAGUGGAAAAGCAUUCAAGAAGAUGAAAAACCUAAAAAUUCUUAUAAUUAGAAGUGCACGAUUUUCUAAAGAUCCUCAAAAACUACCAAAUAGUUUGAGAGUUUUAGACUGGAGUGGAUAUCCAUCACAAUCUUUGCCAAGUGAUUUCAAUCCUAAGAAUCUUAUGAUACUUAGCCUACAUGAAAGUUGCCUUAUAUCGUUCAAACCGAUCAAGGUAUGUAUUUUUUUAACACGUUCAAUUGGUCAUAAAAUAUAAUGUGUUUUCAGUAAAAAUCUCAUAAUUUCAUUAUUUUUAUGUUUUGUAGGCGUUUGAGUCCUUGAGCUUUCUGGAUUUUGAUGGAUGCAAGUUAUUGACUGAGCUACCUAGCUUAUCUGGACUAGUAAAUUUGUGGGCACUGUGUCUUGACGAUUGCACUAAUUUAAUCACGAUUCAUAACUCGGUUGGUUUUCUCAAUAAACUUGUGUUAUUGAGUACUCAAAGAUGCACCCAGCUAGAACUUUUGGUGCCCACCAUCAAUCUGCCAUCUCUAGAGACUCUUGAUAUGAGGGGUUGCUCGCGUCUCAAGAGCUUCCCUGAAGUAUUGGGCGUAAUGAAGAAUAUAAGAGAUGUUUAUUUAGACCAGACUUCCAUAGAUAAAUUGCCAUUUUCAAUUCAAAAGCUCGUUGGCCUCCGACGAUUGUUCUUGAGGGAAUGCUUGAGCCUAACUCAGCUACCGGAUAGUAUUCGUACAUUGCCUAAACUUGAGAUAACAAUGGCUUAUGGUUGUAGAGGAUUUCAAUUGUUUGAGGAUAAAGAAAAAGUGGGUUCAAAAAUGUUUCCAAAUGCCAUGCUUGUUUAUAAAGAAGGAAGUCCGGAAUUGCUUGAUAUGUCCUCUCUUAACAUCUGCCCUGAUAAUGCCAUAGAAGUAUUUAGUACUUCAACUCUUGGUAUUAAUGUUGAUUUCAUGAGCAAAGGGAUUCUUGAAGGGAGAGGAAAUUGGUAUCAACAUGAAAGCGACAAAUCAUCCUUACGUUUUUGGUUUCAAAAUAAAUUCCCCAGGAUAACUCUGUGUUGUGCUGUAGAACCUCCUGUGUGUAAAGACAAUAUGUUGUUGGAUUUCAAGUUAAGUGUUCUCAUCAAUGGCACUGAGCAAUUCACUUCUUCAUGCAACUACAUAUUUUCUGCUG
rnacentral:lncRNA from 1 species